UAACAAGGUUUCCGUAGGUGAACCUGCGGAAGGAUCAUUACCUAGAGUUUGUGGACUUCGGUCUGCUACCUCUUACCCAUGUCUUUUGAGUACCUUCGUUUCCUCGGCGGGUCCGCCCGCCGGUUGGACAACAUUCAAACCCUUUGCAGUUGCAAUCAGCGUCUGAAAAAACUUAAUAGUUACAACUUUCAACAACGGAUCUCUUGGUUCUGGCAUCGAUGAAGAACGCAGCGAAAUGCGAUAAGUAGUGUGAAUUGCAGAAUUCAGUGAAUCAUCGAAUCUUUGAACGCACAUUGCGCCCCUUGGUAUUCCAUGGGGCAUGCCUGUUCGAGCGUCAUUUGUACCUUCAAGCUCUGCUUGGUGUUGGGUGUUUUGUCUCGCCUCCGCGCGCAGACUCGCCUUAAAACAAUUGGCAGCCGGCGUAUUGAUUUCGGAGCGCAGUACAUCUCGCGCUUUGCACUCAUAACGACGACGUCCAAAAGUACAUUUUUACACUCUUGACCUCGGAUCAGGUAGGGAUACCCGCUGAACUUAAGCAUAUCAAACUUGCAUUGCCGUAGUAACGGCGAGUGAAGCGGCAACAGCUCAAAUUUGAAAUCUGGCGUCUUUGGCGUCCGAGUUGUAAUUUGCAGAGGGCGCUUUGGCAUUGGCAGCGGUCCAAGUUCCUUGGAACAGGACGUCACAGAGGGUGAGAAUCCCGUACGUGGUCGCUAGCCUUUACCGUGUAAAGCCCCUUCGACGAGUCGAGUUGUUUGGGAAUGCAGCUCUAAAUGGGAGGUAAAUUUCUUCUAAAGCUAAAUACUGGCCAGAGACCGAUAGCGCACAAGUAGAGUGAUCGAAAGAUGAAAAGCACUUUGGAAAGAGAGUUAAAAAGCACGUGAAAUUGUUGAAAGGGAAGCGCUUGCAGCCAGACUUGCCUGUAGUUGCUCAUCCGGGUUUCUACCCGGUGCACUCUUCUACGGGCAGGCCAGCAUCAGUUUGGGCGGUUGGAUAAAGGUCUCUGUCAUGUACCUCCCUUCGGGGAGAUCUUAUAGGGGAGACGACAUGCAACCAGCCUGGACUGAGGUCCGCGCAUCUGCUAGGAUGCUGGCGAAGAGGUGUAAUACUUUUUAACUUGGCG
rnacentral:rRNA from 1 species